CAGCAGCCACGGUAAUACGUAGGGUGCAAGCGUUAAUCGGAAUUACUGGGCGUAAAGCGUGCGCAGGCGGUUAUAUAAGUCAGAUGUGAAAUCCCCGGGCUCAACCUGGGAACUGCAUUUGAGACUGUAUGGCUAGAGUGUGUCAGAGGGGGGUAGAAUUCCACGUGUAGCAGCGAAAUGCGUAGAUAUGUGGAGGAAUACCGAUGGCGAAGGCAGCCCCCUGGGAUAACACUGACGCUCAUGCACGAAAGCGUGGGGAGCAAACAGGAUUAGAUACCCCAGUAGUCCCUGUCUCUUAUAC
rnacentral:rRNA from 1 species